ACGACGCGCACCAAGCAUGACAUCCCACUCCAUCCAUGACUGUGGUCAGCCUCUUCUACACGCAGAACCAGGCGUGCUGCGCCUGCGCUACGCGAGGAUUGCGUGUGCUGUCACUUCCUCGAUCGAUGCUAACCUCAUCCUGUGCAUUUGGUGUGCCCGCCCGCUAGACUCAUGCUCUGGUACUCCCCUAUAGUCCUAGUUCAUAGAUUGACCUCGCCAGUGUCAACUCCUGCACGGCAUAUUUCCAUGUCACCGGCGUAAUUUGGGGCCGACACCGAGCUGCUACCAGUUCGGCCUAUCCACGUUGAAGCAAAUGAAGGAAAAUCUAUCCGAACUUGACUCUGCAAAUUCAAAUGGCACCAUAUUCAGUGUCUAAUGAUUCCGGGAUCGUUGCUGCGAAGCGGUACUGCAUCCUGAUGUCCACAGUGUCCUGCACCUCGGGUUUGCACAUCCACUCUGCUUACUCUGUCUCCUAGGCCAAGACAACCUCGCCAUCUUCGACCACGGCACCGCCUGGGCCCACAUCACCGGCGCAACUUGGGGCUGAGACCGAGGGGCUCAUCAUCCACGCCCUGAUGUUCUGCACCAUUAGCACCAUGUGUACAUGGAUACACCUGCAU